UAUUUGAGUCCAGAACAGAGGGAAUGGGCUGUAGCAAGUGUGCCCCAUUUGGUUUACAUGGGUUCUUGUAAGUAUGGUGCCAGUGGGCACAGAGGAGCUGUUUGCAUCCAUGAGAUCCUUAAGAGGCUUCAAGAGGUGCAGUUUGUGAAAGAAGGAUAGAUGUGAGGCCCCAUCUGGUGGAAAAAGAAUUUUGUCGGAAGAUGGGGGUCCAGUUGGGCAAAGAACAAGUGAAGUAGACGUAUGCCUGUAGGGGACAUGAAGUACUUAUUCCCAAAAUGGAAGUGGAUUUGAUGUCACGUUUGCAAGUUAAGAAUCCACUUUCCGACCAUAGAGUUGGAAAUAUCAGCAUCUCCGGAGAAGACUUCGGUGUGCGUUGUUUGGAGCAAUCGGGCUUUGAUAUUGUAUUAUUUGGGUCAAGAUGUGAAGUGUUGUCUGUUUGAUGGCUAGAAUGUAGUAGAGCAGUGGGGCUGAUGUCACUGUGUUCUGGUAGAUACCUGAGCAAUUAUAUCAUGAAAUGCCAUUAUUGUCAUUUCUGUGAUUCAAAUUGGAGAGGGUGGGUUCAUUUGUUUGGUCAAUUACAGGAACAUCACCACAUAAGUACUUGCACAAAAUGCAAUUGUUUUCUGAAAUGAAUGGUUUGUUUGCCACUUGGAAUGUUCUAGCCAUCAAAGUUGCAAGAGGACACAGUUUGGGAUGCCCCAAUAAAUGA